UAAACCGCCCUUUUUAGGGCGACUGAAUUUAGUACAAAAGAGUUAUU
rfam:Culex pipiens quinquefasciatus supercont3.273 genomic scaffold, whole genome shotgun sequence.